rnacentral:rRNA from 1 species
CUCCCUGAUGUUAGCGGCGGACGGGUGAGUAACACGUGGGUAACCUGCCUGUAAGACUGGGAUAACUCCGGGAAACCGGGGCUAAUACCGGAUGGUUGUUUGAACCGCAUGGUUCAAACAUAAAAGGUGGCUUCGGCUACCACUUACAGAUGGACCCGCGGCGCAUUAGCUAGUUGGUGAGGUAACGGCUCACCAAGGCAACGAUGCGUAGCCGACCUGAGAGGGUGAUCGGCCACACUGGGACUGAGACACGGCCCAGACUCCUACGGGAGGCAGCAGUAGGGAAUCUUCCGCAAUGGACGAAAGUCUGACGGAGCAACGCCGCGUGAGUGAUGAAGGUUUUCGGAUCGUAAAGCUCUGUUGUUAGGGAAGAACAAGUACCGUUCGAAUAGGGCGGUACCUUGACGGUACCUAACCAGAAAGCCACGGCUAACUACGUGCCAGCAGCCGCGGUAAUACGUAGGUGGCAAGCGUUGUCCGGAAUUAUUGGGCGUAAAGGGCUCGCAGGCGGUUUCUUAAGUCUGAUGUGAAA